UUCCGGUUGAUCCUGCCGGAGGUCACUGCUAUUGGGAUUCGACUAAGCCAUGCGAGUCGAGAGGGUUCGGCCCUCGGCUGACGGCUCAGUAACACGUGGAUAAUCUGCCCUUAGGUGGAGGAUACCCUCGGGAAACUGAGAAUAAUACUCCAUAGGUCUGGGAUGCUGGAAUGCACCUAGGCUUAAAGCUCCGGCGCCUAAGGAUGAGUCUGCGGACUAUCAGGUUGUAGUCAGGGUAAUGACCUGACUAGCCUACGACGGAUAUGGGUUGUGAGAGCAAUAACCCAGAGAUGAUAUCUGAGACACGAUAUCAGGCCCUACGGGGCGCAGCAGGCGCGAAAACUUCACAAUGUGCGAAAGCACGAUGAGGGAAUCCCAAGUGCUUGCACGUAAGUGUAAGCUGUUUCUAUGUUUAAAAUGCAUUGAGAGUAAGGGCUGGGUAAGACGGGUGCCAGCCGCCGCGGUAAUACCUGCAGCUCGAGUGGUGGCCGCUAUUAUUGGGCCUAAAACGUCCGUAGCCGGUUUAAUAAAUGCCUGGGUAAAUCGUGUAGCUUAACUAUACGAAUUCCGGGUAGACUGUUAAGCUUGAGACCGGGAGAAGUUAGAGGUACUCCUGGGGUAGAGGUGAAAUUCUGUAAUCCUAGGGGGACCACCAGUGGCGAAGGCGUCUGACUAGAACGGGUCUGACGGUGAGGGACGAAGCCCUGGGGCGCAAACCGGAUUAGAUACCCGGGUAGUCCAGGGUGUAAACGCUGCUUGCUUGAUGUUAGUCGGGCUCCGAGCCCGAUUAGUGUCGGAGAGAAGUUGUUAAGCAAGCUGCCUGGGAAGUACGGUCGCAAGACUGAAACUUAAAGGAAUUGGCGGGGGAGCACAGCAACGGGUGGAGCGUGCGGUUUAAUUGGAUUCAACGCCGGGA
rnacentral:rRNA from 1 species